AACGGCCGUACCAUGCUGAAUAUACCGAUUCUCGUUAGAUCACCGAAGUCAAGCAUCAUUGGGCGCGGUCAGUACUUGGGUGGGUGACCACCUGGGAACACUGCGUGCCGUU